AGUUGUUUUCUAUUACUGCUGUAAUAAAUUGUCACAAAUUUAGCAGUUUAAAAUAACACUCAUUUAUUAACCCCCAAUCUUGUAGUCAGAAGUUUGGUUACCGACUGGCUCAGCUGGUCCUUUGCUUAGUGCUUUGCAGUGCUGAAGUCAAGGUGUCAGUAGAGUGGUGUUUCUUUCUGGGAGAUCUGUGGAUGGAUCCCCUUCCAAGCUCAUUCAGAUUGUCAGUGAAUUCAGUUCCAUGUGGUUACUGGACUGAGGUUUCCAUUUCCUACCUGACUGUCAUCUGGGAGCCUCUCUUAUCUCCUUAAGGCUGGAUAAUCUCCCUAUUUUAAGGUCCAUAUGUCAAUUAUAUUUGCAAGGUAAAUGCAACUUCCCUUUUGCCUUGUAACAGUCACAGGUUCUAUGAAUUAAGGCAUAGGUAUCUCUGGGGAAGUAUUAUGCCCACUGCAGUUAGAUAGAUAAAUGGUGAUUGUGAGAAUAUUGAGCUUACUUUAUGAAAGAGCAGCAGCAUAGUGACUGAAUAUGAUCCAGGAAGCUGAAAGGGGAAGAAAACACUGGUUUCUUAGAAUUCCUCCUGGCUCCAUGAGACAGAGGUUUUGUAUAUUGUCAGAGAUUUUACCUAUCUUUUCCAAUACACAUACUUUUAAUGCUAAGGUAUUUUAUCUUCAAUCGAGUAAAACAGCAUUUCCCAUCAAAUGAUUUGAUUGCAAAUAUUGUUGUCACAUGGCAUCUAAACCAGGGUGUCCUGAGUCAAACAUGAAGUACAAAAAAAGGAACUAAUUGGAUUCCCUUAAGUUGUAUUAGAUGUUUUAUUUGAAGGAAUUAUAGGCCAACAUAAAUUCAGUUAUUCUUAUACUCAGUUACUCAGAAAUCUGUGCAUUCAUGGACUGAAUACAUUUACAAAUAAGACUGGGGAAAUGGUACAUUCCGUAGUGCUUUUUACAGAAUACUAAUAUUUUGUCGGACUAGUUCAAGAAAUUGGACAUAUACAGGAUAGUUGGCUUUGCUAAAUUUAAAUGCUUAGAUGAUUCAGUGGAAGUCUUUUAGGGAUAAACUUAAAUACAUGUUACUGAAAUUCUUCUGUUUGCAGUGUAUUUUAACUGCUAUUUACAAGAAAUUCUGUAAAUCAAAUGGCACUUUUUACUGUUAAAAAAUGAUUGAAAGCAUCAUAAAUAGGAAGCUGUCUCAACAUAGACCAAUAGUAUUUUUUAGCACCUGGUUCAUGGUUAGCAUUGCUCACAUUCAUUUGACUUUGAAUAUGUUUAGAUUUUAUAAUUGAAUUAGAAAAAUGUGAAGGAAACUAGUUUCUCAAUUUAAUAAGGCAGUGGGUAAGUGGGAGAGGAGCUAGGUGGAUGAUGCCUUUUUGGGGGGGAAAGAAAACUAAAAUAAUUUUAUUUAUUUUUAGAAUUCAAAAAAAUAUUUAGUUUAUUGUCUUCCUUUGCUCUUUUUAUUCUACCUUUAAGGUGUUUUGUUUUGUUCUAUGAAUUGUUUAGAAUUACCUUCUGUAGAGUAAUUUUUCUUCAUAGUGAAUGUAUCUGCAGUGAUUUUAUACAUUAAUAUUAAAAUGUCCUUUCAUCAUACAUUUCACCAGACAUUAUAACAUUGAAAAAUACUGUAAUAUAGUAUUAUUUGAAAUAUUUAUGCAACAAAUCGCGAAGUCCAUUUUACAUUCCAUUAAAUCAAAACUUCACGUUGCCAAGAAAUUACCUUAAAAAAAUUUACACAAAACUAUAAAAUUGAGGUGAUAUAAUUAUAUUUGCAAAACAAAAACUAGUGCUAUUCUUUUGAAAUAUAGUGGCAGGGUUACUUGUAAAUAUGUAAAGUCAAUUAAUAUCAUAAUUAUUUUUAAAUUAUUGUGGAAGGUAAGCAUAUGAUCUUUUUAAUGAGAAUAAUUGGUUCACAUCUCAGUACAAACAUUUCUUUGAUCAUUUAAGUGAAAGUUAAACUUUGGAGCUAUAAGGAAUUUUAAUAUUUCAAAUGCAUAAAAGAAAUACAUAAAAGCAAAAGUAAAAAAUUAGAUUUGCCUAUUCCAGCCAUAGAACACACCCAACCCUAAUUUUGUAAUUCAUAUAUACUGAUAUUCUCCUCUAUUAGCUUCGAAUAUAUAGGGUAUAUCUCCAAGUAGUGCUUUUAUCUGUCAUAAUGUUUCUUGUCUCUCUCUGGUAGAGGUGCUUAUGGAAGAGCUACAGGUCGGGGGUAGAUUGGAGGAGGAACAUAUUCAUUCCUAUAUGUGUGUGGUUCACGUUAGUUCUCCCAAGCUGGAGAAUAAUUUUGAUGGAGAAAAAUUUUAUCCCUGUGUACAGCACAAUGAUUUGCUUGUAAUACGCACAGACUAAUAGUAAAUAUAUUUAGUAAACGAAUCAUUGAUGAUAAUAGUGUUUAUCUUCAUUGAAGCUUCAGAGUAUUGGACCCUAAAACUGUAAGGAGUAAGAAAAUGAUCCCAAGUUCCCUUGGAAUUGUAACAUUUUAUGAUUUACUGAGAUCCUAACAUUCAGUUAUCCUGAGUUUACCUUCAAUUACCUUAUUAAAUGUAAGCCUGGUCCUUCUCUUUUUUUUUCUUUUUGCAUUUAAAAAUAUUUUGACUGACAUCUUUUUCCCUCUCUAUAUAGUGAUUCCAAAUUAUCUAAUGACAAACUUGUUUUUCUCCACUUUUAAAAAAAAUUCCUUUAACAAAUAUCUCCCCAUUCUCAUUUUCAUAUCAAUCAUGUCCUUUGUAUUCACACUUGAGCCUGCCUUUUCUAUAAUCUGUGUGAAUUUUAUAUAAAUAUUUAUUCACAUAUUAGAACCAAAUUUAUUCCUUCCAUCUUUCUGCUAGUCUCAUAAAGCUUUUCUUGAUUAUUCUCACAUAUUCUCUAACUUUUUAAAAUUUUUACUAUUUUAUAAAAAUUAUUAUAUUUGUCAAAUAUAUAAAUUUAU
rnacentral:lncRNA from 1 species